CUCAUGAAGACACUAGACUGGAGUGUCGAAACGUUGGGUCUUGAUUACAAUUCGACUGGGCUUUGUAAUCAUUUAUUUAAACCAGAGUAGCGAGCGAAACAUGAUUGAUAUAUACCUGGUUGCAGUGAACGAACAAACUUUAAAUCCUCGAUAAUGUUCCCUUGACCCACGCUGACGCCUAAGCUACAUGAACAAUGUCCUUGC